CAGCCCCCACAGCCCUUGCUGACCUGUGAAAGGGGAGUUGUGUUAGACCAGCCCUUCCUGCCUGCCUGCCUGCGUGCGUGCUGACCACUGGGACCCCUCGGGAACAGAGUGGGCAGGCGCCUGGAACCAGCAAGGCAGGAGCAGGUCCAUGUGCCCACCUGACCCGAGGCCUGAGGUCCAGCAGGGCGGACACGUAGAGGCAGCGCUCCACCUCGCUCUGCAGCUCCCGGCCCCUCAGGACGGCCAGCCGCAGGGUGACAGCAGAGUCCGGCGGCGGCAGGCAGGACGGCGGGACCACCAGCUCCCUCUGGUCUGUGCGGAGAAGCCGCCUCUGCACGCAGCGGCCCCACUGAGCCCAGCAGCGCCCUGAGACAGAGGGAAGCGCUGUCACCUGUCAGCAACCAGGAGCCACUCGGGAUCUCACGGAUGCUCGGGCAGCACGCAGUGGGAAGGCCAGGGCACCCGUGUGCUCCGGUCGGCCCAGCAGCUUCCCCCAAGGCCGUCCAUCCUCCUGCUCUUCCUCCAGCCUCCUCUGCUCCCAUCCUCACUGUGGCUGUGCUCUGGGUACAGCUGGCUGAGGCAGAGCCGCAGUAGCCACCAAAGCUGUCAUUGCCCACAGAGGAGGACACCCAUGGCUCCCUGUCCCUGUGGGUGCUGUGGGCGCCUGGGACCUGUCUCUCUUUCCCCGGGCAGCUAGGUCAUCACCGGCUUUAAGUUGGCAACUCCAAAAACUUCAGCUCUGUUGACCGAUGUCUCUGUCAGCACCUCCGUCCCCGCCCCACCGCGGGGAUCCCAAGAAUUUCCUGUCCCAGGCAUGUGCACGUUAUGCAGAAGUUACACCUGGGUGAAGCAGAGUGAAGAGCCGCCACCUACCGCAGGACCAGCGGAAGCCUAAGUCCCUGUGGGCCUCGGGCCAGCCCAGCGUGAGGGUCGUGAAAGGAUCCACGUACAGACCGGGCUCCACGUACAGCUCUGUGCUGCCCCCGUCGCCCUGCAGAGGAAGCGGCUGCUGAGUGGCCCCCUUGUUAGCGGCCUCACGAGGGGAGCUGUGCACCCCACGAGUCACCAAGAGCAGCCACGGGUGAGGCCUGGGGUGGAGGAGUUGUCUCCCCUCGGGAUCCCUGGGGAAGGGACUGUCUGGCGAGGGUGGCCCAGGGCCCACUGUGCACACAUUGGUGCUGGCUGAGGCCACGCCUGGCCAGUCCUUCCUGUCUGCAGAUGGAACAGAGCUCCAGCGCUUCCCCAGAAGCUGGACAGGAAAGAGGCACAUAAACUGACAAUUAAAACUCAGAGAGGCAAUGGUGCAUCGGUAGAGGAUGGCCAGGGCAGUCUCUAGGACAGGGAGAGGAGGCCACAGGUGAAGCCCAGCCAGAGUCCCCUGUCCUCCAGGUUCCACUGCGCCUAACCGCCAGGGCUGAAGGGUCCUAUCUGCCAGUGCCAAGCCUGGCCUAGGCAGGUGGAGACCAGCUGCUACCUCUGUGACCUGGACAGUGGGGACGGGGGACGUUUCCCUGGAGGACAGGCUCCUGGGACACCAGCCGGGAAGCAAGCGCAGGAGGCAGAGGCUGCGGGAAGGGGUCGGCAGGCUCCGGGUGUGGAUCUGAUGACCUGACCCACAGCGCUCGGGCCGCUGGCCCAGGCCGAGAGCCCCUGGCCGGGAACAGCACAAGCCUCGCACGGAGGGGCAGCAGCUCGGGGACCUGCAGGUAAAGCCAGGCCCCUGCCAGGGCAUCCGGGGCCGACCCACGUGUCUGCCGCUGCACCUAGUGGACCAUCGUGAGCCUUUGGUUUUGGUUCUUCCAUUUUGUCUGCCUCCCUCAGCAAACCUCGCCAGGCAGGGGCCGGACUUCACUCUCGACUGCCUCCCACUCCCCCCUGCCUGCCUCCCACUCCCCCCUGCCUGCCUCCCACUCCCCACUGCCUGCCCCGAGCACCGCAGGGGUCCACGCGGCUACCCCGGAGUCAGCCUGUGCUGAGCAGCCCAGCAAGGAGAGGAAGGCUCGGGCACGCCGUAAAAACUAACCGGCGUGCGCUUUUCUCUGUUCCAUAUUGUGGUUUUUCGUUUUUUGUUUUUUGUUUUGCUGUCUUUUUCCUUUUUUAUCAGUACCGGGGAUCGAACUCACGACUGCCUGCUUGCAAGGCAGGUGCUUAUGCCGCUGAGCUAAAUCCCCAGCCCCCUGUGUUUUAUUUUUUAAAAAUUAUUAUUAUUGUCAGCCUCCCUGGGUAGUCCAGGCUGGCCUUGAACUCAUGGCCCGACUCUGCCUCCUGACUGCUAGGAUGACAGGUCUGGCCUGGUUUGCCAACAUACGCGUUAAAAACUGUAACUCUUAAGUACCGUGUUAACCGCAUCCCAUGAAUGUAAAUGGGUUAUAUUAUCAUCAUCAUUCAGUUAGAAAGAUUUUCUGAUUUUCUGUGUGCUCUCUUCUCUGAUCCACUCAUUUCUAUAGAAGCCUGCUGUCUAAUUUCUAGGAUGUCUGGGAGCUAUUUACAUCUCUUAAACGCUAAUUGUUGGCUUACAGUGUAAUUCUUUAGCGGUUGAGGCCAUGGUUUGUUUGAUUUCAUUCUUUCUGGGCUCUAUCAAACAGAAGAACGAUCCUGAGUGCUUUGGUUACCGGGACCAACAAAACAAAACUCAGAACUGAGGCCCGGCCCUUGGGCAUCACUCAGAACUGAGACCUGGCCCUUGGGCAUCACUCAGAACUGAGACCUGGCCCUUGGGCAUCGCUCAGAACUGAGACCCGGCCCUUGGGCAUCGCUCAGAACUGAGACCCGGCCCUUGGGCAUCGCUCGCUUGCAAGGUUGUUUUUAAAAGAGACUCACAUUCGUGUCUUCAGCAUCUGUUCCAGAAGGCUCUCGGAGACCUGCGAACACAGUGGAAUCGGUGUCAGGCCAUGGCGGGGAACCUCCUAACAGGUUAUUAACAGACUGCGGGCUGGCAGCUGGCUCCUGCCACAGAGCCGGCCACUCAGGAGGCCAUGACGGUCCGUCCUGACCGCCGACCUGAUGAGAACCAGAGACACGGUGAGGGGUCUCUGGGUAGCUCGGGGGGCUCCAACUAGUGAGGUCACUGACCGAUGGACGGCCGUAGUGGAUGGCUCCAGGAAUGGCUCGGGGCCUCGUUAGAAUAACUGAGCCAUCGCCCCAGCAGAAACCUGGGAACGCUCUGGGUCCCUGCUCCUUCCUCUGCAGCGUCCCCAGUGCCUGGGUGAGGGUAGCAGCACACACUCAGGAGAUGCAGAGCAGCAAAACCGCGUCUGGGCUACCGAGGCCUCUGCGCAGUGAGGAAGAGGCAGCCGCCAGUGCAGGUGGACCGCAGGCUUUCGAGUCCACUGAGCGCAUCUCUGUGCUGUAAAUGAUUAACUGCCGUUUGAGGGCUGGGUGAAGAGGCCAGGUGAGGAGCCCGGUUUGCAGCCUGGUUUACGUCCAUGGUGCAAACACCCCCCCAGCAUGGAGCUCAAGCUGCCAGGCCACCAUCACGGCAUGUAUAUUGAGGAGAGAUCGAGCUGUAGGGAUGCGGCCCGGCCACCAGCUGUGCGUCCGCAGCCCCCCAGCGGCUUCUGCAGGCAGUGCCCACCUGCAGCUUACGCUUUCUGAGCCUUCAUUUCCUGCUCUGUAAGACCGAAGGGAGCCUGAUGCUCAGGGCUGCAGGAGCCCCGAGCGCUGUGUUUAUCCUACCGCUUCACAAACUCCAGGUCUGCUGAGAACACUAGUAGCCGGGUGUGGUGAUGCACACCCGUUAUCCCAGCACUUGGGAGGCUGAGGCGGGAGGAUUGCUGUGAGUUCAAGACCAGCCUGGGCUACACAGUGAGUUUAAGGCCACCCUGAGCUACAUAGUGAGACCCUGUCUCAAAAAAACACAAAACGAAAAACAAAACAAACAAGGGUAUAUAUAAUGAACACUAGCAUGUCACACUUAAAAAACAGAAAAAAAGUGCACUCAAUUAAUAUGUUCUGGAGAUGGUGAAAUGUUAAUAUUAUUAAUGUCUAGCAAUAAAGGCUGGUGAUUAAGACAGAA